rnacentral:misc_RNA from 1 species
GAAAUGCGAUAAGUAAUGUGAAUUGCAGAAUUCAGUGAAUCAUCGAAUCUUUGAACGCACCUUGCGCUCCUUGGUAUUCCUUGGAGCAUGCCUGUUUGAGUAUCAUGAAAUCUUCAAAGUAAAUCUUUUGUUAACUCAAUUGGUUUCUACUUUGGUAUUGGAGGUCUUUGCAGCUUCACACCUGCUCCUCUUUGUUCAUUAGCUGGAUCUCAGCGUUAUGCUUGGUUCCACUCGGCGUGAUAAGUUAUCUAUCGCUGAGGACACUGUAAAAGGUGGCCAAGGUAAAUGCAGAUGAACCGCUUCUAAUAGUCCAUUGACUUGGACAAUACUUUUAUGAUCUGAUCUCAAAUCAGGUAGGACUACCCGCUGAACUUAAGC